rnacentral:hammerhead_ribozyme from 1 species
GUUCAACUGACGAGUCCAAAGUAGGACGAAAUGCACAUCAUGGAU